UCUGAACUGGCAGUCGCUCGCUCCCUAUCAGGUCGGAGGGUUGGUCCCCCUCCCCCGGGGGCGGGCUGCAAACGGAGAGCGGGUCUCAAAGCGGAGCCUGUCUCCCCACCAAACAGACACAACUCUCUGGGUCACACUCUUUCCAAGAAGCGCGGGGAGAGCAACGCCAGCGCCCUGUCCCUUCCUCUCCCCAGCCCAGGACCGGAGCCCGGGACCCACCUCUCGCCUCCUCCUCCCAGCCGGGGUCUGCAGGGGAAUCCGCACGCUCCUCCCAGCCCCUGCCCGGCCAGUCCCCAGGCGCUGCGGAUCCCCCUGACCACCAAUCCCAUCGCAGCCCCUUGCGGUCCUGGGACCUCAGGAAGGAGAGGGGGAGGGCUGCCGGCGCCCCCGGCCGGGCUGCGGUGGGGAGGACUGGGGCUGUUGCCGAGGAACCGGGAGAAAAGUUUGGAGCGAAGUCGUGGGCCCGAGUGGACAGCGGGGGAGCGGGGAGGUGGGGCGGAGUUGGGCUCUCGGCGCGCACACCCUCUGUGGACACCCAGCCCAGACACGUCGGCAGGCACCUACCACGUAUGCGGACACACGCGAUGCGCCCACCGACGCCCACAGCCAAGCGCAGGCCCGCAAACGUGGACACCGGCGCAAAGCAGCCGCGCAAAGCCACGGAUACACAAAGGCACCAGCAGCGGCGCGUCCCCGACUGCAAAUCCACAAAGACCCACAAACAUGAGAUGCACGUGUCCGCACAAAGACCCACACGGCCCCCGGGCGGAGCCUUUGUCUCCCGCAAGCCCUUUCCCCUGGGUUAGCGUUCCCCACUCCCGCCCAGCCCCAGGCGUCCGGCUAAAGUUGAGGGGCCUUGGCGGGACCCAGCCCCGCCCCUGCGACCGGCGUCCCCUACCCGCCCGCCGAAGGGGCCGCGAGGCUGAGGUCGGGGACUCGGGAUCUUCACCCGCAGCGCGAACUCUCGCCCCGUCCGGGGACCCGCACCCACCUGGAAGCCUGCGCCGCAGCCGCCUCGGCACGCUCACCCCGGCGGCCCGGCCGCGGGCCCUCCGGCCGGCGCUUUUCUCCCGGCGGCGCGGCCCGCCCCCCGGUCCCCGCCCGCAGCCGGGCUCCCCCCUGCCGGGCGCCGGGUGGCUGCUCUAG
rnacentral:lncRNA from 1 species